UUUACGUAUUACAUUCUGAUUCGUCACCGGUGUCCGGGAAAAAUGGCGUCGGAAGAACAGUGUUCGGUACCACUUCGUUGGCGGUCGAUAUCGCUAACCCACAUAGAGUUCCCUGCUGGUGAUCUGACUGGACAAGUGUUGGCCUACACCAGCCUGCUGCCCAUAGCGAUCCUCAUAGGCUUUGUCACCCUCAUAGUGUUCAAGCGUGAACUGCACACGAUCUCCUCCUUCGGUGGGCUCGUACUGAACGAAGGUGUGAAUUGGCUGCUGAAGCAUAUUCUACGGGAGCCCCGCCCAUGUGAAGGAGCUCACACAACCCUGACAACAGAGUAUGGGAUGCCCUCCAGUCAUUCCCAGUUCAUCUGGUUUUUUGUUGUUUACUUCUUUCUUUUCCUUUAUUUAAGAAUGCAUCAAACGAACAACGCUCGGUGUGUGGAGCUGCUGUGGAGACACAUACUGUCCAUCACCUUGUUGGGCGUGGCCUUAUCAGUGUCAUACAGCAGGGUAUACCUGUUGUACCACACUUGGAGUCAGGUCUUCUAUGGGGGAGUGGCCGGUAGCACCAUAGGAGUAGUCUGGUUCUUCUUCACACAGGAGGUGCUUACACCGCUAUUCCCCAAGAUAGCAGCAUGUGUGUCUCCAUUUUUUAUUUUGUCCCACCUCUCUCGCCAUCCCUGACCGCUGACAGGCCGAUAUCAGAGUUCUUUCUGGUGCGGGACACGAGCCUGAUCCCCAACAUCCUUUGGUUUGAGUACACGGUGACCAGGUCAGAGGCGAGAAACAGACAACGGAAGCUUGGAACAAAGCUUCAGUGAUCUCAGCAGUUCCUUGGAGAAACUGAGUAAAGGAACAUAUACACACACACACACACACACACACACACACACUCACUCA